rnacentral:rRNA from 1 species
GAUGAACGCUAGCGGCAGGCCUAACACAUGCAAGUCGAGGGGUAACAGGGAAAGCUUGCAAUCCGCUGACGACCGGCGCACGGGUGCGUAACGCGUAUAGAACCUACCUUCUACUGGGGGAUAGCCCAGAGAAAUUUGGAUUAAUACCCCAUGGUAUUGAUAUCUGGCAUCGGAUAUUGAUUAAAGGUUACGGUAGAAGAUGGCUAUGCGUCCUAUUAGUUAGUUGGUAAGGUAACGGCUUACCAAGACAUCGAUAGGUAGGGGCCCUGAGAGGGGGAUCCCCCACACUGGUACUGAGACACGGACCAGACUCCUACGGGAGGCAGCAGUGAGGAAUAUUGGACAAUGGGCGAAGCCUGAUCCAGCCAUGCCGCGUGCAGGAAGACAGCCCCUAUGGGUUGUAAAACUGCUUUUUUAUACAGGAAGAAUAAGAGGUAUGUAUACCUCGAUGACGGUACUGUAAGAAUAAGGACCGGCU